UACGGAGGGUGCAAGCGUUAUCCGGAUUCACUGGGUUUAAAGGGUGCGUAGGUGGGCUGGUAAGUCCGUGGUGAAAUCUCCAAGCUUAACUUGGAAACUGCCGUGGAUACUAUUAGUCUUGAAUCUCGUGGAGGUAAGCGGAAUAUGUCAUGUAGCGGUGAAAUGCUUAGAUAUGACAUAGAACACCGAUAGCGAAGGCAGCUUGCUACACGAGUAUUGACACUGAGGCACGAAAGCGUGGGGGAUCAAACAGG
rnacentral:rRNA from 1 species